GAUGAGCGCUGGCGGCGUGCCUAAUACAUGCAAGUCGAGCGAACGGACGAGAAGCUUGCUUCUCUGAUGUUAGCGGCGGACGGGUGAGUAACACGUGGAUAACCUACCUAUAAGACUGGGAUAACUUCGGGAAACCGGAGCUAAUACCGGAUAAUAUUUUGAACCGCAUGGUUCAAAAGUGAAAGACGGUCUUGCUGUCACUUAUAGAUGGAUCCGCGCUGCAUUAGCUAGUUGGUAAGGUAACGGCUUACCAAGGCAACGAUGCAUAGCCGACCUGAGAGGGUGAUCGGCCACACUGGAACUGAGACACGGUCCAGACUCCUACGGGAGGCAGCAGUAGGGAAUCUUCCGCAAUGGGCGAAAGCCUGACGGAGCAACGCCGCGUGAGUGAUGAAGGUCUUCGGAUCGUAAAACUCUGUUAUUAGGGAAGAACAUAUGUGUAAGUAACUGUGCACAUCUUGACGGUACCUAAUCAGAAAGCCACGGCUAACUACGUGCCAGCAGCCGCGGUAAUACGUAGGUGGCAAGCGUUAUCCGGAAUUAUUGGGCGUAAAGCGCGCGUAGGCGGUUUUUUAAGUCUGAUGUGAAAGCCCACGGCUCAACCGUGGAGGGUCAUUGGAAACUGGAAAACUUGAGUGCAGAAGAGGAAAGUGGAAUUCCAUGUGUAGCGGUGAAAUGCGCAGAGAUAUGGAGGAACACCAGUGGCGAAGGCGACUUUCUGGUCUGUAACUGACGCUGAUGUGCGAAAGCGUGGGGAUCAAACAGGAUUAGAUACCCUGGUAGUCCACGCCGUAAACGAUGAGUGCUAAGUGUUAGGGGGUUUCCGCCCCUUAGUGCUGCAGCUAACGCAUUAAGCACUCCGCCUGGGGAGUACGACCGCAAGGUUGAAACUCAAAGGAAUUGACGGGGACCCGCACAAGCGGUGGAGCAUGUGGUUUAAUUCGAAGCAACGCGAAGAACCUUACCAAAUCUUGACAUCCUUUGACAACUCUAGAGAUAGAGCCUUCCCCUUCGGGGGACAAAGUGACAGGUGGUGCAUGGUUGUCGUCAGCUCGUGUCGUGAGAUGUUGGGUUAAGUCCCGCAACGAGCGCAACCCUUAAGCUUAGUUGCCAUCAUUAAGUUGGGCACUCUAAGUUGACUGCCGGUGACAAACCGGAGGAAGGUGGGGAUGACGUCAAAUCAUCAUGCCCCUUAUGAUUUGGGCUACACGCGUGCUACAAUGGACAAUACAAAGGGCAGCGAAACCGCGAGGUCAAGCAAAUCCCAUAAAGUUGUUCUCAGUUCGGAUUGUAGUCUGCAACUCGACUACAUGAAGCUGGAAUCGCUAGUAAUCGUAGAUCAGCAUGCUACGGUGAAUACGUUCCCGGGUCU
rnacentral:rRNA from 1 species